AAAACAGAUGUGCAAAGACAACUCUUAAUAACAGGAUGUGUGAGAUUUGACUGUUCUAAAUGUUCUAAAGAAUAUCAGUUUAGAAUCAUAUAAACAAUUAUGUUAUAAGGAAUCACCCAACUGCCUGCUGUGAUGCUAUGAACACUAGCAAUAAAGAUGUUUUUUUCUUCACCCUUGGUUGGUGGACGCACUGGCAUCUUCUCAGACAGAAGGAAAACAGUCAGGAUAGGGGAACAUCAUGGACACCAUUUAAAGACACUGCUCCAUGCAGUUAGGAAAAACAUGCGCUUUAAUUAUACAGUGUUGUAGACACAGUUUGAAGAAUGGAUACUCAGAUUUUUUUUUCAUUUUUCAGAAACAUGAACGCUGGAAGCUGUCAUGUGGGGACAGAGCUGUCUGAAACAAGAGGUUUCUCUGUAUAAUGUCAGGAAUGCGGUCUUUCCUCCAACGAAUCUGAACAUCGUGACUUCCGAAGAUGAAUGGUAAUCCGAUCGAAUCGGUUCCGAAGAGAGAGUCGGAUCCUCCGUGAGUGCCUCCAGUAAGGGGAUGAUGAACAAUGGUUCCUGCAGCGAGGAGAUGGGAAGCGGUAACCUCAGGGCGCCUAGGGAAAUUCCUCCAUACAGCCAGCCAGAAGGAGAACCGAACUCGCCAGGUCAGCACCGGUCUGGGGAAACAGAGGGACACCAGGCAGGGUGCAAAG